AUGUGUUUUGUGUGUGUGUGUGUGUGUGCGCACACAGACACUAUGGAGGAAUAUAUACAUACACACACACACAUAUAUAUAUAUAACCUAAACACCGCCACAAUG
rnacentral:miRNA from 1 species